UUAAAAAUAGGAAACCUACUUCAAACAUAGGUAUUAGAAAACAAUACAAAAACUGUUAUUGUAUUUUCAGAAACCAUACGGAAAUAAUGAGGAUGCAUCGACAUAAGAAGAAUCGAACAUGGGCAAGAUAAAGUUCAAGAAAAAAGCAAAUAUAAUGUGUACUUGUGUGUAGUCAAAGAAAGUUGAAAAAUAAAGCAUAAUUAAUGGCCAUAGAAUACAGAACCGAUACACGAACAUUAAGACUAUUAAAAAUAGACAUAUAGGUUGAUCGUACUACUCGAACUAAUGUAUUUCUUUUGUUCAAUUAUAUUAUUGCAUUAAAGUUAGAUUCUCUAGAUAUAUAUUAUUCAUAGGUUCUGUAUUCUAUACGAAUUGUUUUAGUGUAAUUAUUGUACUAAAUACCGUUGACCGCCUGUCAACAGUAUUUAUUUCUACAUUACUAUCACAGAAGAUUUUAGGUCCUACAGUAGUUUUUGAAUUAGUAUUUACUAUGGACAAAUAUUGCGAAAUGUGAGUUUCUACCUAAAAUAUCAAUCUUUUGUGAACGUGGUGUAGAGUAUAUACCGCCUAAGACUGAAGUAGCUACGCGGGCAACGUUUUCAAAAUAGAAUCGUGUUCAUCGACCAUGAAAAAUAUGGUAAAAAUAAUUAGGUACCCGUAGACCCGCUGGUGAACACUGUUUAUGAUAAUGAUAACACUUAAAAUAAACCCCGUGGACCCACCAGGAGAACAUAUUCGAGAGACUAGAGAUAAUACACCCCUUUAAGGGCGGUCGCACUCGGCAUUGACAUCUGGCGUCUAGAUGGCGGGUGGACCUCAGCGAAUUUCAAAGAAAUAUUUAUAAACAUCCAAUGACGUUCGGCUCGGACACCAGAUCUUCAAUCUCCUGAUUCCUGUGGAGUCUCCAGGUUCCAUCCUCUCCACGUGUGAGUCCUAGGAUUUUUCGCGCUGCCAGACUCGGGCACGUAGUUCAGAUGGGUGAGGAUCGUGCAGCCUGGAGGGCGUACUCUGAAGUUCCAAAUGGCCGAAGACCGUCUAGACGUCCUAGGUAGGUCCCGCUGGAGAGACGAAAUGCAAAAAGACCUUAGCGAACUCGGCGCCGUCGACUAGAUGGAAACGGUUUGGGACAGAGAAGCGUGGCGGUCUUUGGUGUCGGAGGCCAAGAUCCACUUCGGGUCGCUGCGCCAUAGCAGUAAGUAAGUAUUUAUAAACAUACUGUACCUUCUGUGUACCUAACCCAAAACGAGAUAUUUAAGAAAAAGUCCACCCGCCAUUCUGACGUCAGGAUUGCGGUUGGACCUAUGAAAUCUUGCAUUAUACCGCACUAAAAGUAUGCAGUUAUAUGGUACAGUCGCCACCAGAUAUAUCGGAGUGGCCGAGGUGCUCAAAGAUCUCUAAACACGCACUCUAACCUCUUGACAGUAGAGGCAUGUUCAGAUAUUCGUGGGUACCUUGGCCGCUCCGAUAUAUAUGAUGGUGACUGUACCUUCAGUGUACCUCUGUAAAUAGAAAUAGAAACCGGUGUACCUCUCCCCAAAACAAGGUAGGCUAAGCUCAUGCACAAUAUAGCUGCAUACUUUUAGUGCGGUAUAAUGCAAGAUUUCAUAGGUCCACCCGCCAUCCUGCCGUCAGGUUGGCGGGUGGACCGUUUUGUAAAAUAUCUCGUUUUGGGGAAAGGUACACUGGUUUCUAUUAAAGGUACACUGAGGUACACAGAAGGUACAGUCAACGUCAAAUACUUUGUAGCAACCAAAGUAACCAAAUAGUUCGGUACACCAUAUAUUUAGUAUGGUGUACCGAACUAUUUGGCCACUUUGACUGCUACAAAGUAUUUGACGCUGACUGUACAAUAUGUUUAUAAAUAUUUCUUUGAAAUUCGCUGAGGUCCACCGCCAUCCUGACGCUUACCAUAUAUCUAAGGACCGACCUUAGGGGCAAUAAGGAUAGUGCUAGUUCAGUUGUGUCAUUCACAAAUUCGAGCCAAUCGUGCUGUCUAACGCAGCUAGAUGCGAUCAAUCGCGUGCGUAAUGCGAACUCAUCAACCAAUCACGUUGUGGUACUUGUGACGUUAGACUGCACGUUUGGCUCAAACUCGUGUGCGUAACACCGCUGUACUGGCCCCAUUCUUAUUGCCCGUAAGGCCCGUCCUCAGAUAUAUUAUGUCAAUGACACAGUCGCGAUUUUAAAAAAUCACAUCGCUUCUGCUACCAAAUUGUUGAGCAUAACGUUUUCCUAUCCAUAGGUUCCAUCUGUCCAGUAGGAUCCACCAUCUCGAUCCACCAGAUUGAAGAGAUUGUUACUUAACUGAUGGAUCGAGAUAAUGAAACCUACCGAAUAGAGCGGGUCGAUUGGAUAUAACAAAGUACGCUUAUAUGAAACGCUACUCCGGUGUGUGAGUGAGACAGUCAGGCCAAUUUGAACUUGCAUUUGACAGAAAACUGAUUGUCUCCAUCAAACGCUACCAGUUCCAUUGCCGGCCUCUUCGCUGCCUUCUAUAGUGGUUCAAUCUUACCUUGCUUAUGAAUAAAAAGGGGCGUGCACACCGAUAUUAGAGUAAUAUUGGAAUCAUAUCAGUUAGUUGCGGGCGUCUCGCUCGCACAAAUACAUGCGUAUAAGUGCGAAAUGAACGCACGAAUGACAGCUAACUGGUAUCAUUCCAAUAUUAUUCUAAAAUUGGUUUAACCCUUUACCAGGCCCCGAAGAACCAGCAUGUCUUAAUACGUACUUUAUAUGCUGUUGCAACCGUAUUGAACGCCUUGUAAAAAAUGUAUUUAUGAACGUCGGAGAUCUUCCUUUAAACCAGAAAUAAAAAUGUGGGUUAAGGUUAUCCCAUCGCCUGUCUAAGUAAUGAACUGUCAUACUAGAUUUUGUCUUAUUAUAUUCUUGAUCAGGCCAAGGGAUAUAUUCCACCCACAUCUUAUAUCGGUUAUAAUAGUCAAGGUUUAACUCCAAAUCUCCUACGAAACAUUAUAUCAAUCACUGAAAAAAAAUCACUUACUUACGUGAGUUUUUAUGACAUGACAAGACAAUUUACCGGGCCAUGGGAAAUAUAGCUCCCACACAGUUAAACUCUAAUAAGGCCAUGGGAUAAUGUCAACCCACAUCCUAAUUCUGGUCAUACACAAUAAUGCAUGAAUAUUUAUCAAUGUUUCCGAUUACAUUAGCUUUCAACACUCAAAAUCUACAAAAUAUCAAAAAAUUGUUCGACCUAUGUACUUCUGUUUCAUAGAAAUUAUGAAAAGUGUUCGAAUUUCUCCGUAGUUUACUGAAAUUAGCGUUCAAGUGAAUUUAAACGGCUGCCAAAGAUAUAUUACGCAAUUUAGAAGCGUGUUGUGAAUGAAGAUCAUAAAAUAAUAUUUUCAGGGAUUGACAAAAUAUUUUGUAGGUGGUUUGGAGUUAAAACCUGACUACGGUAACCGAUAUAAGAUGUGGGUGAAAUAUAUCCCUUGGCCUGGUAAAGGGUUAAGGGCGUUUGCUAGCUGGCGCGAGUGCACGGAGCGGGUGCACGCGCGCGGGUGCCUUUGUAGGUAAAAUUCGUCGCAUGCGUCCGCGCCAGUUAGCGUCGCCAGUUACUGUUUUUCGUUAACCCGCUCCAGCUAGCAAACUAAUCGCAAAUGGUCUGAGAUUGGCCAUGCAUUCCCUUAUCUGGAUCUGGAUGCACCUAUUCACCAAUGCUUGCUUUAAAGUAACUUGUCGACUCGUCCUGAUAAUAUUUGUGCGACCGUGAAGAAAAUCUAUGCCGUCACUUAUUUUUCAAUUUAUAUGAAAUAAAGAUGUUAAAUGUA